AUUCCUACGGGAGGCAGCAGUGAGGAAUAUUGGUCAAUGGGCGCAAGCCUGAACCAGCCAUCCCGCGUGCAGGAAGAAGGCGCUAUGCGUUGUAAACUGCUUUUCCAGGGGGCGAAUAGCUUCUACGUGUAGAGGUAUGACGGUACCCUGGGAAUAAGCAUCGGCUAACUCCGUGCCAGCAGCCGCGGUAAUACGGAGGAUGCAAGCGUUAUCCGGAUUUAUUGGGUUUAAAGGGUGCGUAGGCGGAUUAAUAAGUCAGUGGUGAAAACCUGCAGCUUAACUGUAGAACUGCCAUUGAUACUGUUAGUCUUGAGUAUGGUCAAGGUAGGCGGAAUGUGUAAUGUAGCGGUGAAAUGCUUAGAUAUUACACAGAACACCGAUUGCGAAGGCAGCUUACUGGACCAUUACUGACGCUGAGGCACGAAAGCGUGGGGAGCGAACAGGAUUAGAUACCCUGGUAGUCCACGCCGUAAACGAUGAUCACUCGCUGUUAGCGAUACACAGUUAGCGGCUAAGCAAAAGCAUUAAGUGAUCCACCUGGGGAGUACGGCCGCAAGGCUGAAACUCAAAGGAAUUGACGGGGGCCCGCACAAGCGGAGGAACAUGUGGUUUAAUUCGAUGAUACGCGAGGAACCUUACCUGGGCUUAAAUGUAGAGUGCAUGGGGUAGAAAUAUCCCUUCCCUUCGGGGCUCUUUGCAAGGUGCUGCAUGGUUGUCGUCAGCUCGUGCCGUGAGGUGUCGGGUUAAGUCCCAUAACGAGCGCAACCCUUAUCGUUAGUUACCAGCGGGUCAUGCCGGGAACUCUAACGAAACUGCCGGUGUAAACCGAGAGGAAGGUGGGGAUGACGUCAAAUCAGCACGGCCCUUAUGUCCAGGGCUACACACGUGUUACAAUGGCCGGUACAGAGGGCAGCUACCUGGAGACAGGAUGCGAAUCUCAAAAGCCGGUCUCAGUUCGGAUCGGAGUCUGCAACUCGACUCCGUGAAGCUGGAUUCGCUAGUAAUCGCGCAUCAGCCAUGGCGCGGUGAAUACGUUCCCGGGCCUUGUACACACCGCC
rnacentral:rRNA from 1 species